AGAUCUAUAAAUGAACUUUCUCGUUCACCAUCCUUGCCAUAUUCUGAUAUUCAGAUGGUCGAUCUUCUGAACUUUCUGGCGCCUGGCUAGAGAAUCCGAAGAUAGCUCUUGUGGUUUAUUCUUCCUUUAUUCUUCGUGACUGAGACGGUACCUAAAACCGGUUAAUGAUUCGAGAAUUUCUGGGUUCGAUCGAUGCUGUAUUUUGAGGUUCUACACUCAUAUCCUCAAGAUAUACAUGACUAGGGACGCCAUGGGUGAAGUAGAGGUUGCUUGGUCUCUUCGGGGCGAUGGAGACGCUGCUACUGGAGUAAGUUGCCAUUGGAUUAUGACGACUGCAGGACUGGAAAUCAUUGUGCCUCGCUUCAGACAUUGUGAAACUUAAAUAUUACAUUAUAACGGUUCUCUCCCAACUUUUAGGGUUAUUUGGAUUUCCAAGUGAAAUUAUGAUUCAUGGAAACUAAUUGUAAUAGUUCUCCUUUACCAUGGUUUAUCAAACGGCUGGGACAUCUAGCACUGUUUGUUUUCUGACUAAGAAGAUAAACGUCCAAGUCCGAGCAAUUGGGAUCACUGUGUUGUGGGACAUCUAGCACUGCUGCUGUUUUUACUGUUGUUUUCUAACGAAGAAGAUAAAUGUCCGAGCAAUUGGGAUCACUGUUGUGGAUAUUUGGUUGCGUAGAACAAGAUUUUACCAAAAAGUAGAAGUGCACCCCACAACAAAAUUUCAUUCAGGUUUCA